CACAGCUGUAUCCAGACUGCGUUGCAUCAAGCUUAAGAACAGCCCUUAGCCGUGGUAUAUUGUCCAUAUACCAUACCCCCUCGUGCCUUAUUGCUUAAUCAUAGCAGUCGAACGAGUUAAAUCUACAUCCUUUGAUGGAAAAUGAUCUGGCGAGUUUAAUAAGGGCGAAUUAUCUUUUCUCUUGCAACAUAUUGAAAUGUGUUUAUUACUUCAUGUCAUAGUUUGCAAUAAUUAGGUGGCAGCAUGCACUUUUAACGUUGGUUUGCGGACCAUAGAAGAAGAACCACCAUUAUAUCAUAAAAGAAGAAGAUUUGAGAAAUUGGCUAACCAACUAACUAGCUAAUCAACUAUCAUUUAAAUUUUGAAUUGUUCUCAGGAGACAGGUCAGUGUGUGUAGAGAGAACACAUUUGACCAGGUGGAGUCAGGCUUCUACUUCAUCGCCCUGGACCACUACACCAACGAGGAAGAGGACCUCAAGUUUGGACCAAUGAUGCUGAUGACCCAGUGUAAAAACCUGGAGAUGUUCACUGGUUCUGAGGGAGGUGACGUGGACACCAACAGUGUCUGGGGUACCUUCCAACGCUACCUCUGUCUGGACAACAGCCAGAGGGUGGUCAAGACAUCUGCCGCAUCUUUAGUGUGUCAGCUUUGCUGCACCUGGGAACUAAAGGUUACAGCACCACAGUCCCAACAGUAUGCAGCACCUGGGAACUAAAGGUUACAGCACCACAGUCCCAACAGUAUGCAGCACCUGGGAACUAAAUGUUACAGCACCACAGUCCCAACAGUAUGCAGCACCUGGGAACUAAAGGUUACAGCACCACAGUCCCAA
rnacentral:lncRNA from 1 species